rnacentral:rRNA from 1 species
UUCAGUUGUCGGGGUCGGGAUUCUCGACGUUUACUGUGAAAAAAUCAGAGUGUUCAACGCAGGCUUACGCCUUGAAUACAUUAGCAUGGAAUAAUGAGAUAGGACCUUGGCGGUCUAUUUUGUUGGUUUGCACGCCGAGGUAAUGAUUAAAAGGGACGGUUGGGGUUCUUCGUAUUCAAUUGUCAGAGGUGAAAUUCUUGGAUUUAUGGAAGACGAACUGCUGCGAAAGCGUCGAACAAGGACGUUCUCAUUAAUCAAGAACGAAAGUUAGGGGAUCGAAGAUGAUUAGAUACCAUCGUAGUCUUAACCAUAAACUAUGCCGAUUCAGGAUUGGCGGUCGUUUGUUCUCGACUCCGUCAGCACUGUAUGAGAAAUCAAAAUCUUUGGGUUCCGGGGGGAGUAUGGUCGCAAGGCUGAAACUUAAAGAAAUUGACGGAAGGGCACCACCAGGAGUGGAGCCUGCGGCUUAAUUUGACUCAACAC